rnacentral:rRNA from 1 species
GGUUCGAUCAUGGCUCAGAUUGAACGCUGGCGGGAUGCUUUUACACAUGCAAGUCGAACGGCAGCACGGACUUCGGUCUGGUGGCGAGUGGCGUGGGUGAGUAAUGUAUCGGAACGUGCCUAGUAGCGGGGGAUAACUACGCGAAAGCGUAGCCAAUACCGCAUACGCCCUUCGGGGGAAAGCGGGGACCUUCGGGCCUCGCACUAUUAGAGCGGCCGAUAUCGGAUUAGCUAGUUGGUGGGGUAACGGCUCACUGAAGGCGACGAUCCGCAGCUGGUUUGAGAGGACGACCAGCCACACUGGGACUGAGACACGGCCCAGACUCCUACGGGAGGCAGCAGUGGGGAAUUUGGACAAUGGGGGAAACCCCUGAUCCAGCCAUCCCGCGUGUGCGAUGAAGGCCUUCGGGUUGUAAAGCACUUUGGCAGGAAAGAAACGGCACGGGAUAAUACCCCGUGCAACUGACGGUGCACCUGCAGAAUAAGCACCGGCUAACUACGUGCCAGCAGCCGCGGUAAUACGUAGGGUGCAAGCGUUAAUCGGAAUUACUGGGCGUAAAGCGUGCGCAGGCGGUUCGGAAAGAAAGAUGUGAAAUCCCAGAGCUAGUCCUGGAACUGGUUUUUAACUACCGAGCUAGAGUGUCAGAGGGAGGUGGAAUUCGCGUAGCAGUGAAAUGCGUAGAUAUGUGAGGAAGCGCCGAUGGCGAAGGCAGCCUCCUGAUAACACUGACGCUCAUGCACGAAAGCGUGGGGAGCAAACAGGAUUAGAUACUCCUGGUAGUCCACGCCCUAAACGAUGUCAAAAUUAGCUGUUGGGGCCUACCUGGUAGCGCAGCUAACGCGUGAAGUUGACCGCCUGGGGAGUACGGUCGCAAGAUUAAAACUCAAAGGAAUUGACGGGGACCCGCACAAGCGGUGGAUGAUGUGGAUUAAUUCGAUGCAACGCGAAAAACCUACCUACCCUUGACAUGUCUGGAAUCCCGAAGAGAUUUGGGAAAGUGCUCGCAAGAGAACCGGAACACAGGUGCUGCAUGGCUGUCGUCAGCUCGUGUCGAGAUGCUGGGUUAAGUCCCGCAACGAGCGCAACCCUUGUCAUUAGUUGCUACGAAAGGGCACUCUAAUGAGACUGCCGGUGACAAACCGGAGGAAGGUGGGGAUGACGUCGGAGUCCUUCACGGCCCUUAUGGGUAGGGCUUCACACGUCAUACAAUGGUCGGGACAGAGGCCGCCAGUCCUCCCGCGAGGGGAGCCAAUCCCAGAAACCCGAUCGUAGUCCGGAUCGCAGUCUGCAACUCGACUGCGUGAAGUCGGAAUCGCCAGUAAUCGCGGAUCUGGGGCACAUGUCGCGGUGAAUACGUUCCCGGGUCUUGUACACACCGCCCGUCACACCAUGGUGAGAAAGUGGGUUUUACCAGAAGUAGUUAGCCUAACCGUAAGGAGGGCGAUUACCACGGUAGGAUUCAUGACUGGGUGAAGUCGUAACAAGGUAG